UACGUAGGGGGCAAGCGUUGUCCGGACUUACUGGGCGUAAAGCGCGCGCAGGUGGACGAGUAUGUGCCGUGUGAAAGCGCCGUCCUUACGAUGGCGAGGUCAUGGUAGACAGCUUGUCUCGAGGCUCAGAGAGGUUGAUGGAAUUCCGGGUGGAGCGGUGAAAUGCGUAGAUAUCCGGAGGAACACCAGGGGCGAAGGCGGUCAACUGGCUGAGUUCUGACACUGAGGCGCGACGGCGUGGGGAGCAAACCGG
rnacentral:rRNA from 1 species